rnacentral:rRNA from 1 species
CUGCAUGGCUGUCGUCAGCUCGUGUCGUGAGAUGUUCGGUUAAGUCCGCUAACGAGCGCAACCCUCGCUGUGUGUUAUAUGUGUCACACGGGACUGCCGGUCUUAAGCCGGAGGAAGGUGGGGAUGAUGUCAAGUCAGCAUGGCCUUUAUAUCCUGGGCUACACACACGCUACAAUGGCCAACACAAUAGGUUGCUAAGCCGCGAGGUGGCGCCAAUCCAUAAAGUUGGUCUCAGUUCAGAUUGUAGGCUGCAACCCGCCUGCAUGAAGAUGGAGUUGCUAGUAACCGCAAAUCAGCAUGUUGCGGUGAAUACGUUCUCGGGCCUU